rnacentral:tRNA from 1 species
GCCGUGAUUGAAUAGUGGUUAGUACUCUGCAUUGUUGCCGCAGCAAUCCCGGAUCGAAUCCGGGUUACGGCA